GUAGUUGAUCCGUGCUCGAGACGACGCUGGCGGCGUGCCUAAUACAUGCAAGUCGAGCGGACUUUAAAAGCUUGCUUUAAAGUUAGCGGCGGACGGGUGAGUAACACGUGGGCAACCUGCCUGUAAGACUGGGAUAACUUCGGGAAACCGGAGCUAAUACCGGAUAAUUCUUUCCACCACAUGGUGGAAAGCUGAAAGACGGUUUCGGCUGUCACUUACAGAUGGGCCCGCGGCGCAUUAGCUAGUUGGUGAGGUAACGGCUCACCAAGGCAACGAUGCGUAGCCGACCUGAGAGGGUGAUCGGCCACACUGGGACUGAGACACGGCCCAGACUCCUACGGGAGGCAGCAGUAGGGAAUCUUCCGCAAUGGACGAAAGUCUGACGGAGCAACGCCGCGUGAGUGAUGAAGGUUUUCGGAUCGUAAAGCUCUGUUGUUAGGGAAGAACAAGUACAAGAGUAACUGCUUGUACCUUGACGGUACCUAACCAGAAAGCCACGGCUAACUACGUG
rnacentral:rRNA from 1 species